GGGGGAAUAUUGCACAAUGGGCGCAAGCCUGAUGCAGCCAUGCCGCGUGUAUGAAGAAGGCCUUCGGGUUGUAAAGUACUUUCAGCAGUGAGGAAGGUGGAUAUCGUUAAUAGCAUAUUCAUUUGACGUUAGCUGCAGAAGAAGCACCGGCUAACUCCGUGCCAGCAGCCGCGGUAAUACGGAGGGUGCGAGCGUUAAUCGGAAUUACUGGGCGUAAAGCGCAUGCAGGUGGUUUGUUAAGUCAGAUGUGAAAGCCCGGGGCUCAACCUCGGAAUUGCAUUUGAAACUGGCAAACUAGAGUACUGUAGAGGGGGUAGAAUUUCAGGUGUAGCGGUGAAAUGCGUAGAGAUCUGAAGGAAUACCGGUGGCGAAGGCGGCCCCCUGGACAGAUACUGACACUCAGAUGCGAAAGCGUGGGGAGCAAACAGGAUUAGAUACCCUGGUAG
rnacentral:rRNA from 1 species